AACAGUGGCAACUUGUUCGGGUAUCCUUCCCCAGUGUGGAAGCUUUAGUUCUUUUGCUCUUUGCAAUGAAUCUUGCUGCUGCUCACUCUUUGGGUCCACGCUGCGUUUACACUGUGUUUAUGAGCUGUAACACUCACCACAAAGGUCUGCAGCUUCACUCCUGAAGCCAGCAAAGACCACGAACCCACCAGGAAGAAGGAACAACUCCAGACACGCAGCCUUAAGAGCUGUAACACUCACUGCCAAGGUCUUCAGCUUCACUCCUGAGCCAGCCAGACCAUGAACCCACCAGAAGGAAAAAACUCGGAACACAUCCCAACAUCAGAAGGAACAAACUCUGGACAUGCCGCCUUUAAGAACUGUAACAACGCAAGGGUCCGCGGCUUUAUUCUUGAAGUCAGUAAGACCAAGAACCCAAUUCCGGACACGUUUGGACCAUUACUUCACCAAAGUACAGUUCCUACAGGAAGAUAAUGAUCUGACCUAACCUACUAUUGGCUGAAGGAAGGAGAAAAGCAGCUGAAGAUGUCUGUUGAGUGAUUACCCUCAUAAUCCGUGACUAAGAACAUCCAAAUCAGCAUGGCUUCUUCCUGUCUGAAAUUAUUACUACUUAGGGUUUUUCACGUGUUAUUUCAUUUAUUGAUUAUUCUGUUUUAAACUUGCAAGACGUAUUGUCUCUUCAGAAAUAAAACUUUAUCACUUGCUUCAUCAAUUCAAUUAAUUUCACAAUGCAUUGAUUAAACUCCUACGUAAGCAUUUCAGCAUUUUAAAACAUUUUUAAAAAGGUAAAAUCAGGACUGUCAUGUGAAUGAUAUGCCAAAGGUUUUA
rnacentral:lncRNA from 10 species